CAAAAGCGUAUAUUAAAGUUGUUGCAGUUAAAAAGCUCGUAGUUGAACCUUGGGCUUGGUUGGCCGGUCCAUCUUUUUGAUGCGUACUGGACCCAACCGAGCCUUUCCUUCUGGCUAGCCUUUUGGCGAACCAGGACUUUUACUUUGAAAAAAUUAGAGUGUUCAAAGCAGGCCUUUGCUCGAAUAUAUUAGCAUGGAAUAAUAGAAUAGGACGUUAUGGUUCUAUUUUGUUGGUUUCUAGGACCAUCGUAAUGAUUAAUAGGGACGGUCGGGGGUAUCAGUAUUCAGUUGUCAGAGGUGAAAUUCUUGGAUUUACUGAAGACUAACUACUGCGAAAGCAUUUACCAAGGACGUUUNCAUUAA
rnacentral:rRNA from 1 species